rnacentral:rRNA from 1 species
UUGCCCCAGUAACGGCGAGUGAAGCGGCAAGAGCUCAAAUUUGAAAUCUGGCCUCCCUUGGGGGGUCCGAGUUGUAAUUUGUAGAGGAUGCUUCGGGUGUGGCCGCCGUCUAAGUUCCUUGGAACAGGACGUCGUAGAGGGUGAGAAUCCCGUCUUGGGCGGCCGGUCCGCGCCCGUGUGAAGCUCCUUCGACGAGUCGAGUUGUUUGGGAAUGCAGCUCUAAGCGGGUGGUAAAUUUCAUCUGAAGCUAAAUACUGGCCGGAGACCGAUAGCGCACAAGUAGAGUGAUCGAAAGGUUAAAAGCACCUUGAAAAGGGAGUUAAACAGCACGUGAAAUUGUUGAAAGGGAAGCGCUUGCGGCCAGACUCGAGGGGCGGGGUUCAGCGGGUGCGCGUCACCCGUGCACUCCCCGUCCCCCCGGGCCAGCAUCAGUUUCGACGGCCGGUCAAAGGCCCCCGGAAUGUGUCGUCUCUAGGGACGUCUUAUAGCCGGGGGUGCAAUGCGGCCCGCCGGGACUGAGGAACGCGCUCCGGCUCGGAUGCUG